rnacentral:tRNA from 1 species
GGAGGGGUUGCUGAGUGGCACAGCGGCGGACUUCAGAUCCGCUGUGCCUGCAGGGCACACCCGGGUUCAAAUCCCGGCCCCUCCG